CGGCCAUACUGAAUAUACCGGUUCUCGUUAGAUCACCGAAGUCAAGCAUCAUUGGGCGCGGUCUGUACUUGGGUGGGUGACCACCUGGGAACACUGCGUACCGUAG
rnacentral:rRNA from 1 species